GUCUAUGGCCAUGCUACCCUGAACAAGCCAGAUCCAGUCUGAUCUCAGAAGCUAAGCAGAGUUGGGCCUGGUUAGUACUUGGAUGGAAGACCAGGUGCUGUAGGCG
rnacentral:rRNA from 1 species